rfam:Oryza meridionalis cultivar OR44 (W2112) chromosome 10, whole genome shotgun sequence.
AGGAAAGUAAACCUCAGGUUUCCGUGUUCAACGUUUGACUGUCCGUUUUAUAUGAAAUUUUUUUAUAAUUAGUAUUUUUAUUGAUGUUAGAUGAUAAACAAUGAUUAAUACUUUAUACGUGACUUUUCUUUUAAUUUUUUUUAUAAUUGUUUUAAAUAAGACGGACGGUCAAACGUUGGACACAGAAAACCAGGGUUUGUCUUUUU